rnacentral:lncRNA from 1 species
UUUAAAAUUUAAGGAUUUCACUGAUGAAAUAAUAGUACAUUCUUAAUGAAUUUUUUAUGCUAAAACAGAUUAGAGGCUUCUUACUGAAAGGGCAAAUAGAUGCAAGAGUUCUCUGCCUUCUGUGUUGUUUGGGCGAAUUGUCAGGAGUAAAAGAAGAGUUUAGUGUCAAAGGGGUAUAGCUUCUGGAUGGUCAUAUAAAUUGAACAGAGGAUAAGUGGAGCCCUUUUUUCAUCUCUUCCAAAAUAUGAAACAUUGCACUGAUCUCGGUGGAAAUAAAUGCCAAAGAGAUGAGAAGAUGCUUGUUUGUUUCCUGUCUGGACUGAAGUAGGACACGGAGGUUUGGGCAACAGUACCUGUACUCGGGCCUCG